UAAAAAGAAGACUUUUUACUGACUGUAUACACCCUUCCUCAACAAAAAAGAAGUUUUUCCGAAAUGCACCCAAAAACUAAGAACGGGUGUCGAUUCAGGGACCUUUUGGGAGCUCAGAACAGCAUUCAG